UACGUAGGGUGCGAGCGUUAAUCGGAAUUACUGGGCGUAAAGCGUGCGCAGGCGGUUGUGCAAGACAGGUGUGAAAUCCCCGGGCUCAACCUGGGAACUGCAUUUGUGACUGCACGGCUGGAGUGCGGCAGAGGGGGAUGGAAUUCCGCGUGUAGCAGUGAAAUGCGUAGAUAUGCGGAGGAACACCGAUGGCGAAGGCAAUCCCCUGGGCCUGCACUGACGCUCAUGCACGAAAGCGUGGGGAGCAAACAGG
rnacentral:rRNA from 1 species